GACGAACGCUGGCGGCGUGCUUAACACAUGCAAGUCGAACGGAAAGGCCCUGCUUUUGUGGGGUGCUCGAGUGGCGAACGGGUGAGUAACACGUGAGUAACCUGCCCUUGACUUUGGGAUAACUUCAGGAAACUGGGGCUAAUACCGUAUCGGAGCUCCUGCUGCAUGGUGGGGGUUGGAAAGUUUCGGCGGUUGGGGAUGGACUCGCGGCUUAUCAGCUUGUUGGUGGGGUAGUGGCUUACCAAGGCUUUGACGGGUAGCCGGCCUGAGAGGGUGACCGGCCACAUUGGGACUGAGAUACGGCCCAGACUCCUACGGGAGGCAGCAGUGGGGAAUAUUGCACAAUGGGCGGAAGCCUGAUGCAGCAACGCCGCGUGCGGGAUGACGGCCUUCGGGUUGUAAACCGCUUUCGCCUGUGACGAAGCGUGAGUGACGGUAAUGGGUAAAGAAGCACCGGCUAACUACGUG
rnacentral:rRNA from 1 species